GACGAACCGUCCAAACGUUGUUCGGAAUCACUGGGCUUAAAGGGCGCGUAGGCGGCUUGCCAAGUCAGGGGUGAAAUCUUUCGGCUCAACCGGAAAACAGCUUCUGAUACUGGCGAGCUCGAGGGAGGUAGGGGCAGAUGGAACUUCGGGUGGAGCGGUGAAAUGUGUAGAUAUCCGAAGGAACGCCGGUGGCGAAAGCGAUCUGCUGGAUCUCAUCUGACGCUGAGGCGCGAAAGCCAGGGGAGCAAACGGG
rnacentral:rRNA from 1 species